UAGCUCAGUCAGUUGAGCUUGGUGCUGAUAACACCGAGGUCGCGGGUUCGAUCCCUGU
rnacentral:tRNA from 1 species